AGGGAAUAUUGCGCAAUGGGCGAAAGCCUGACGCAGCAAUGCCGUGUGAGUGAGGAAGGCCUUAGGGUUGUAAAGCUCUGUCAGGGUGGAAAAACGGCAUUACGUCUAAUAGGCGUAGUGAGUGAUGGUACACCCAGAGGAAGCACCGGCUAACUUCGUGCCAGCAGCCGCGGUAAUACGAAGGGUGCGAGCGUUGUUCGGAUUUAUUGGGCGUAAAGCGCGUGUAGGCGGAUUAGCAAGUCAGGUGUGAAAUCUCGGGGCUCAACUCCGAAACUGCGCCUGAAACUACUUAUCUAGAAUCUUGGAGGAGGAAGGAGAAUUUCGCAUGUAAGAGUAAAAUCCGUAGAGAUGCGAAGGAACACCGGAGGCGAAGGCGCCUUCCUGGACAAGAAUUGACGCUGGUACGCGAAAGCGUGGGUAGCAAAC
rnacentral:rRNA from 1 species